ACAAAGAGGUCUGGCUUUAAGUGGACCAAAAAGGAUCCUCAAGAGUCCUCAAGUGCAGUAUGAACAUAAAGAGAACUGUGUCCUUUUUCACUUGGUCCACUUAAAGGGGUCAGAGUUUGGUUCUUUUAAAGAGGACCCAAGUGUGAAAACACCCUAUUAUCAAGAUUAUCACGUAUGUAUGUUUUCUGUCUUGUGUUGGUGACAACUGGAGGUUCAAAAUCAAACAGAAGUCCCAACAUGUUGACCUGCUAAUUAGAACAUAUGUAUCUGUCCUCAAAAUUUGACUUUUCCUCAUUGCAAUAACCAACAGACUUGACUUUUGCUAUGCAUCAUACUGCACGGUUAAUGGCUGAAGUUGUUCAAAUAUUGCAAUCUGUGUAUAUAUUGCAAAGCAAGUUUAGGUGAAGGGCUAAACGAAACAAAAAAGCUCCUCACAAGGGAGAGUUUGUGGACGGACAUCGUGUAUGUUUGCUGUACAAAUAUUAGCUUUAAUAAUUAAGAGCAACACUUUUCCACAAGCAAUUUUUCCCCUCUGCCAUUUUCAUAGUCAGUCACUCACAUUUUGACAAAUUCCACAAUGCAAACUUUUACUAAUCAUGUGAAAUUUUAAUGUGGCUGUAUUCUGUUAUACAGUGCUACAGUGUAAAGAAUAUAUUCCAAGCUUUUUUUUUAUGAUUUUUUUGAUAAUAAAAUGUCAUUUCAGUAUUUUCUUGCUUUUACUUUGAAGGAAACCAUAGUGAGUCAGCAGUACAUUUCAUGUGAACUCCAGUACAGUUCAGUGCAAGGGAUUUCAAAGAGCAUCCCUCAUCUCUAUCACUCUCCUGUUCCCCCUCCAUCAGUGAAAGACUCUCCUGAGAGUGUGUGACCCAGGCUCCUCACACAUCUGAUGAGAGAGCUAAUAGUGUCAUAUCCAGCAGAGUGAGGAGGAUGCCAAGAGCAAAAUCUACCCGGACAUUAGAAUUUCCCAGAGAGAUAAUGAGCUUUUUGUGAGGGGUGAAAGGGGCUCCCUUAAUCUGGUUCACACAGUCUCUACCUUUGGUGUAGCGCUGCUACGUUUGAGCCAGGUCUGAUUGAAGAGGGCAGCGGGUCAAUGGAUGGAUGGAUAGAUGGAGGGCAAAAAGGAGAGGACAGAGGAAUGGCCAGAGGGGAGGUGUAAAGGGGUGCAUGUGGGACGUCCCAGGCUGAAUUUUUGAGGAUUAACGGGGUGACUUCUCUUCUGGAAUGUUCAGCCGACAGCCAAGACCCUCCCACUCUGUCAGACAGGAGGAGAUGGUUUCAAGAAGUUCUGCUGGGUGAUACAGAACAGGAAUGGCUCUCAGCGUGAAGAUCGGCCCAAAUCUCUUCCCACACACCUCUUCACACAGCUGCAGUAAACUACAGGUAGGAGUGUUUUACCGCCAUGCGCUCUGGAUCAGUCGAUGUGCCUCAGGACCACCAAGAAAGACUUUGUUCUUCGUCUGGGAACAUAACAGACACAAACUCUCCCUCUUUUAAUUAGAGAACUGCCACACUUUAUCAACAAAGAUGCUGCUACUAGAGUUACUGUUGUCUAUAAACAGUGCUCCUUCAGUCAGUGUGAAUAAAUGAGUCAUCAAAGUCUUCAGGAUUCAUAUUUCAAAGGUCUUGGUUUGGUAAGAGGUGUUUCAUUAUCAGAACAAUACCAUUUUUGUUUCAGUUUUCAUGUUAUUUAUAUAUAUAUAUAUAUUGAUAGUAGAGUGAGUCCUAAUCUAGGGAGCAGAAUGAGACAGUGGAAUAUUUUGACUUGGGCCAGCAAACAACUAACCAGCAUUCCUGUAGCUCAAACAGAGCAGGCCGUUAGCAAUACCAAGAUCAUGGGUUCGAUUCCCACAGUUAUUUUUGUAUAAUUUUGUAUUAGUAUUUAUUUUUAAAAUUUGCAAUUUUCUUUUUAGAUUAAAUUGAAAUAUGAUGUGGCUUUUUUCAGUUUUUUAUUUAUUUUAAAUGUCUUAGUUUUUAUUUUUAAUUUCAGUUUUCAUUUUUUUAAAUUAUAAUUUUAGUACUUAAGUAAAUUAAACAAAAAUCAGAAAUGUUGCCAUGAGAA